UCCAUAAGGUUCGGCACACGACUCGUGGUUAUUGCAUCGUCCCCUGCAGCUGCUUCUGAGGUUCUCAAAACCAACGAUCGUAUGCUCUCUGGCCGCUACCUUUCUCCUCACAUCCGAGUCAAGGGAUCGAGACUUCACAAUUUAUCAACUGCAUUAUUAGAAGAGUGUGAUGAUUACUGGAAAAGUAUUCGAAAAAUAUAUAGGGCAGAGCUUUUCUCUACAAAAGCUCUGGAAUCGCAGUUAAGUAUGAGGGAGAAGAAAGUCGCGGAAAUGAUGCAUCAUUUGACUAUCAAACAAGGCCAAUCGAUUAAGAUCAGGGACGUGGUUUCUGUGACAUCUUUUAACGUAAUGGGCAAUUUGAUUCUUUCAACAGAUUUAAUUGAUUUUCAAGGUAAAGGCGUGGGCCAAAGAAUGAGAAAGUACGUGACCAGAUAUACAAAGUUGGCUGCCACUCCGCAGUUAGCAGAUUUGUAUCCUAUAUUGGGUUUUUUCAGUGGGGACUUCCAAGGAACAUAUAAGAAACUUAUGGUUUUGUUUGAUAAAAUUUGUGGUGUUUGGACCGGGAUUCUUCAGGACAGAAGAAAUAGAGACAGCCAAUUACCUUCUUUGGGUUCUAUAGAUUUUAUAGAUGCUAUGGUUAAAAACGGUUACACUGAUACACAGAUCAAUGCAUUGCUUGUGGUGCGUUACUUUUCCUCCUUUACCUGUUUUUAAUUAUUUGUCUUCCAUUAAUGCUACAUGCAUACUAAACUAAGGAUUGGUCAUUCAACUAAUUCUAUUAUUUUUUCAGGAGACAUUUGGAGCUGGUACAGAAUCUACGACUGCUACAAGUGAAUGGAUGCUUGUCGAACUCCUAAGACAUCCACAAGCCUUACAAAAACUCAGGAAUGAAAUAGCAGAAGUAGUAGGAGGUAAGAAUAACGUUAUAAAGGAAGCUGACUUGCAAAACUUACCAUACUUGGAGGCUUGUUUCAAGGAGACAUUAAGGUUGCAUCCUCCUGGACCGCUGCUGCUCCCACACCGUGCUGUGCAAACAUGUGAAGUCAUGGGUUACAGAAUUCCAAAAGACACACAAGUGAUGGUAAAUAUGUGGGCAAUUG
rnacentral:lncRNA from 1 species